CGGCGUAAAGAGUGGUUAUGGAGAAUAAAAUACUAAAGCCGAAGACCCCUUAGGCCGUCAUACGCACCUAGGGGCUCGAAUUAUAAACACGAAAGUAGCUUUACCCCUUCCCACCAGAACCCACGACAGCUGGGACACAAACUGGGAUUAGAUACCCCACUAUGCCCCGCCGUAAACUUAGAUAUUCCAGUACAACAAAUAUCCGCCAGGGGACUACGAGCGCCAGCUUAAAACCCAAAGGACUUGGCGGUGCUUCAGACCCCCCUAGAGGAGCCUGUUCUAGAACCGAUAACCCCCGUUCAACCUCACUACUCCUUGCUUUUCCCGCCUAUAUACCACCGUCGCCAGCUUACCCUGUGAAGGUACUACAGUAAGCAGAAUGAGUAAUACUCAAAACGUCAGGUCGAGGUGUAGCGUACGAAGUAGGAAGAAAUGGGCUACAUUAUCUGAUCCAGAUUAUUCACGGAAGGUUGUCUGAAACGACAAUCCGAAGGUGGAUUUAGCAGUAAAGGGGGAAUAGAGUGCCCCCUUGAAGCCGGCUCUGAAGCGCGCACACACCGCCCGUCACUCUCCCCAACAACC
rnacentral:rRNA from 1 species